GAUGAACGCUGGCGGCGUGCCUAAUACAUGCAAGUCGAGCGAACGGACGAGAAGCUUGCUUCUCUGAUGUUAGCGGCGAACGGGUGAGUAACACGUGGAUAACCUACCUAUAAGACUGGGAUAACUUCGGGAAACCGGAGCUAAUACCGGAUAAUAUUUUGAACCGCAUGGUUCAAAAGUGAAAGACGGUCUUGCUGUCACUUAUAGAUGGAUCCGCGCUGCAUUAGCUAGUUGGUAAGGUAACGGCUUACCAAGGCAACGAUGCAUAGCCGACCUGAGAGGGUGAGAGGCAACAGUGGAUGUGAGACACGGUCCAGACUCCGACGGGAGGCAGCAGUAGGGAGUCAUGCGCAAUGGGCGAAAGCCUGACGGAACAACGCCGCGUGAGUGAUUAAGGUCUUCGGAUCGUAAAACUCUGUUAUUAGGGAAGAACAUAUGUGUAAGUAACUGUGCACAUCUUGACGGUACCUAAUCAGAAAGCCACGGCUAACUACGUG
rnacentral:rRNA from 1 species